rnacentral:rRNA from 1 species
CUUGGUCAUUUAGAGGAAGUAAAAGUCGUAACAAGGUCUCCGUUGGUGAACCAGCGGAGGGAUCAUUACUGAGUUUACAAACUCCCAAACCCCUGUGAACAUACCUAUGUUGCUUCGGUGGGCCGUCCCGCGGCGCGCCCACGUGGCGUGACCCGGACCCAGGCGCCCGCCGGGGACCCCAAACUCUUGUGUUUUUUUCAGCAUUCUCUGAGUGGCAAACGCAAAAAUAAAUCAAAACUUUUAACAACGGAUCUCUUGGCUCUGGCAUCGAUGAAGAACGCAGC